rnacentral:rRNA from 1 species
AGUGAACGCUGGCGGUAGGCCUAACACAUGCAAGUCGAACGGCAGCACAGUAAGAGCUUGCUCUUACGGGUGGCGAGUGGCGGACGGGUGAGGAAUACAUCGGAAUCUACUUUUUCGUGGGGGAUAACGUAGGGAAACUUACGCUAAUACCGCAUACGACCUACGGGUGAAAGCAGGGGAUCUUCGGACCUCGCGCGAUUGAAUGAGCCGAUGUCGGAUUAGCUAGUUGGCGGGGUAAAGGCCCACCAAGGCGACGAUCCGUAGCUGGUCUGAGAGGAUGAUCAGCCACACUGGAACUGAGACACGGUCCAGACUCCUACGGGAGGCAGCAGUGGGGAAUAUUGGACAAAGGGCGCAAGCCUGAUCCAGCCAUACCGCGUGGGUGAAGAAGGCCUUCGGGUUGUAAGGCCCUUUUGUUGGGAAAGAAAAGCAGCAGGUUAAUACCCCGCUGUUCUGACGGUACCCAAAGAAUAAGCACCGGCUAACUUCGUG